UUUAAUGUUUGAUUAGUCAAAAUAUUUGCACUAUUCCUAUUUCCAAUAUCUGCCAAAGUGUCUGCUAAGUGUAACUAGUAAAGAUUAGGAAAAUGGUGAUUGCAAAAUGCUAAAGAUUGGUCUCUUGGGGCUUUAUUCAGUGAAAGAAUGUUGGACUAGCAGAAGUGUUAUGGAGUGUGUGUGUUUCUAUGGUGACAGUGGGAAGAGGUUAGCGAUUGGUUGUGAAUGAUGCUAAAUAUGUGGCAUUGUUGUCAUUUUGUCUUAAAUGCAGAAGACUCCAAAACGUAAAACCAAAAGGUUGUGUUUUUUUUAGUGAGUUACAUUUUGUUAUGAAAUGUUAUUACUGAAGUCUACUACAGUGAUUUCAUUUGAUCACAAGUUAUUUUGUCUAUGUUAUAAAUUUUAUAUUUAGUUUUGUUCACAGGGAAGUUAUUCAAGUUAUUUGGAGUUUCAUUAGUUAAGAUAUACCAUGCCAACAGCUGUUUAGUUGUCUACUAGCAGUUUGAUGCUACAAGUCAACGACCGUCAACACCAAGAAGACUUAAUUAAAUAAAGCUAUGUCUAUUUCUACAUCAUUUUGUUGCUUCUAACUUCUAACCUGGUGUUACUAACAACUAACGUGAAAUGGGAAAAGUAAAUUAUUAUCUGAUUCAUACUCAACUCUUCAAAUUCCAUAUAAUUGUAGAGAACUGACAUGAAAUAAAACAUUAACAAAAUGUGUAUUAUAAUUUUUCCUCCACAUUGCUUUUAUUUUUUUUCUUCUAGAUUUUCAUAAUUUUUUCCUGAAGUCAUUUCAGUUCUCAAUUAUUUUGUGCAACAAGUUACAAGAACAAAUUCAAGCAAGAGAGGACACUACACUAAACUUUGUCUUCUCAUAAGAAUGGAUGGCUGCCUGGUCAUGUGAUAUGUGCGCUGGACUGUUGUGUGGUCAUCUUGAUGCUCAUAUCUUGCCUGAUGUCAUUUAUUCUGCUGGACGUUUGGUCAAGGAAAUAGAUUCUCUUCAACUCUCAAGGAACAUUCAAAACAUGUCAAACAUUGGACAAGAAUAUCAAGUGCAGUGUACAUACCAACAUGAUGAAAAGGUAGACAACAUGAAGAUGUAGACCAACUUGAAGAUUAAAUGUAAACCAAAAAUAUUGGUCAAGAGAUGUAUGGAAUAAAAUGUGAACAUCUUGAGAAGUAAAACAAUUCCUAGAGGCCAAGACACAAACACACCGGAUAUAUUAGAGAUUUUCCUUUUCUACCAUCAUUUAGAGACUUCCUUGUGCUCUAAGGGAACCUGCCAUUAUCUUUUGAUUGCUAAUUGGCAUUGAUGUUUUUACAUUCCUACUGCGUCUGAAGGAAAUUAACAUUUCCCUAAUGCUACUUCAAAACCAGACCUUCUCAAGAUAAUCAUAGUGACCAAGCUGCAAUACGGGACUCAGUAGGAAACAAUGAAGAAUCCUCCAAACCUCAGGUUGAGUACCCAUGCUCACCAACUAGAGUGGCGACACAUACUUCUACACCCACAGUUGUAUAUUCUGAACCCUGUAACCCAACCUCACAACAUGGU